CGGCGGGGUGGGGUUUCGCUUCGGCCCGUCCUCUCAGGAGGUGCCGUCGGCCGCGGGCCGUGGAGUGUGGGCAGGAGCCUGCGCCGCUCUCCUCCUGCUCCGCGGGGACCUCUGCAGGAAAGCUCGCUUCGUGGAAAGGACUGCUAGGGAAAGCGGCUUCGUUUUAUCCCGCGGCCAGGAAAACACAUCGCGGCCCGGCAGUGGAGUCGCCGGCCUCGGCCUCGGCCUUCCCGCCCAGUCCUGGCGGGACGCCGCGGGGCUUCGAGCAGGGGCGAUGAUGGUGCCUCCUUCUUCUGAUCUUUUCUGAGAAAAUCUCCUCUCAAAGCCCCCCCUGAAGCACAGAGAACAGCACAUCCUCGGGCUGCGUCCUUCCAGCGUGAAGUCGUGCAGAUUAAUGGCAGCGCAAAAUGAAGUCUGGGAUGGUUUCAGUCCAGGUUUGUCAGCUCACACUACGUGUAUUUAUGAGAAAGGAAGGUGAGAGCUGCUACACAACGGAAGCUCUUGGACAAGGCUCAGUCGGAACCUUCCUAAAGGAAUUUUCUUUCUCAGUGCGUAGCUAACAAAUGACAAUGAAAACUCAGCCCUACAGUUCUUCUGUUACUCAGAGAUCCCCAUUUCUGCCCUGGUGUCCAUUGUGGAAGCUCUGGAGGUUGGCUACAGCCAACACAAAAAUCCUUCUCACAACCUAAUGCACGCUGCAGAUGUGACACGGACGGUCCAUUACCUCCUUUUCAAGAUGCGUGUAGUGUAGGUAAUGGCUGUAUUCCCAGGAACAUUACUAAAUCAACUGGCGGUGGACUCUCUCCUACACCAGAAACGCUGCUGGGAUCUUGAAGGCAUGUGUUGCUUCAAUGUAACUGAUUAAUCAGCCAGCCUAGAGGAUGACAUUCAACGUUUCCAGGAUUUUAACACAUCAAAUGAAACAAUCUACUGGUGGUGCCUGGCUGGUUGAGCUGUUUAAUUCCCUGACAGAAUGGGUGGGACACUUGAUUCAAAGCAUUAUUGUAGGGAUAAGUUUAUUCCUUUGUCUAUAUGUGUUCAUUACAUGCCUCUACACAUUACCCUGCCCUGCACCCUGCAAGCCCAAAUGGACACCUCCAGCUUUGCCAGCCCCAGCAGAAGUGCUCCCUUGAGUGAGGGGAUGGAACAUGGGAUAAUAAUGGAUGAUUGGCAAGGAGGAUUAUAAACACGCUCAAGUGACCUGCAGCUGGCGUGCAGAAGUAUACAUAUAUUAUACUAAUUGCUGUUUAUCCUUGCAUGCUUGACAAGUAGAACAUCUGUGUUUAGAUAACACAGGCUUGUGAUAGACUUAAGAGGCACCCUAUCAAACACGCUUGAGAUUCCCGUCCUGCUGUGGGAAGGAUCAAAGCACAGUGGUACAUUGUGCCUGCACGAAUCCCUGAUAAACUGGUGAAAACAGCAGGGUCGGCAUUCCCCUAGCAUGGGCUGAGCUCAGCAGUGCCUGUGUCCCUGCUCAUGUGCCUGUGCCCAGGUGCUGCUUCAGGGAUCCCCCAGUUGGCGAGGUAACAAAAAUAAAUUUACUGUUUGCAUUUAA